CCAAACUCGAGGAUCUACUGAAAUCGAGGGACCAUUUCGAAGCCGAUAAGCAGUUUUGAUCGAGAAUUGUAUAUAUUUUUCUGGUUUUCUAAGUGGCUGAAGCUCAGUCUAAUAUCCUCCUUGCCCGAUCCACUGCCAAAUUAUUUCAGCCUUUUAUGCAAAGAUCUUCAAAUGCAUGGUUUCCUACUGUAUUCCAAGCUCUUUGAACUUUAAGGCAGUUGCAGAACGCAUAAUGUUUCUUAAUUUGCUUUUGUACUGUGUAUAUGUGCAAUUUCAUAAUAUUUUUCUUUAAGGUGCUUCAUCGGUUAUGGCUGCUAGCUAGAGGUGCUCUUAUGCUUCAAUUUUCUCUCCUGAAGGUAAAGCAGAUUGGGAAGAUGUGAACAGAGAGUACGUUAGGAAGAGCAUAUCAUGGGAUAAUGAUGUUAAAAGCACGAAGCACACGCUAAAGGAGAUGAUAGUGCAUUACUCCUGCCUUGAACGCCCAGAAGGAAAAGCUGUGAUCAAGUAGGAAAAUUUGGCAGAUCUAGCGAAAGUUUACGGAGUGGAAGAGUAUUACCGGUCGGUUAGCGGUAAGAGGUCUCACUCGAUGGACAAUUGGGCAUACACAACUGCAUGAAGAAGCUCUGGCAAGCCGAACCGUAAACUAAAUACAGGUAGAUGAGGUAGCAAAAAGGAGGUGCCAGCAGACCCAGUCCCCUCUGUUGCAUCUUUAGUGA